GUUAAGCGACUAAGCGUACACGGUGGAUGCCCUGGCAGUCAGAGGCGAUGAAGGACGUGCUAAUCUGCGAUAAGCGUCGGUGAGGUGAUAUGAACCGUUAUAACCGGCGAUUUCCGAAUGGGGAAACCCAGUGUGUUUCGACACACUAUCAUUAACUGAAUCCAUAGGUUAAUGAGGCGAACCGGGGGAACUGAAACAUCUAAGUACCCCGAGGAAAAGAAAUCAACCGAGAUUCCCCCAGUAGCGGCGAGCGAACGGGGAGGAGCCCAGAGCCUGAAUCAGUGUGUGUGUUAGUGGAAGCGUCUGGAAAGGCGUGCGAUACAGGGUGACAGCCCCGUACACAAAAAUGCACAUAUUGUGAGCUCGAUGAGUAGGGCGGGACACGUGGUAUCCUGUCUGAAUAUGGGGGGACCAUCCUCCAAGGCUAAAUACUCCUGACUGACCGAUAGUGAACCAGUACCGUGAGGGAAAGGCGAAAAGAACCCCGGCGAGGGGAGUGAAAAAGAACCUGAAACCGUGUACGUACAAGCAGUGGGAGCCUCUUAAUGGGGUGACUGCGUACCUUUUGUAUAAUGGGUCAGCGACUUAUAUUCUGUAGCAAGGUUAACCGAAUAGGGGAGCCGAAGGG
rnacentral:rRNA from 1 species